rnacentral:misc_RNA from 1 species
AACGCAAAUUGCACUCUCUUUGGAGAGUAUGCCUGUUUGAGGGUCAGUAAUAAUAAAAUCGGGGUGUUGCUUUCUUUGUGACGCACCGGAGAUUGGGCUACCUUUAACUCUCGGGUUUAAGAUGCUUAAAAUUGAACUUUUUUGCGCACUUUUAGACGUACAUAAAUUUAUUUUAUCGUUUAUUCUGGUGCCAAUUAUCUAUUAGGUGCGAUCAUGUUAUAUGAUCUCGUGCCUAUAAUUUCUCAUCUUUUGACCUCAAAUCAGGUAAGGACACCCGCUGAACUUAA